rnacentral:rRNA from 1 species
GAUGAACGCUAGCUACAGGCUUAACACAUGCAAGUCGAGGGGCAGCGCAGUGUAGCAAUACACGGGCGGCGACCGGCGCACGGGUGCGUAACGCGUAUCCAACCUUCCCGAUACUCUUGGAUAGCCUUCCGAAAGGGAGAUUAAUACAAGAUGGUGUUUCACUUUCGCAUGUUAUUGAAACUAAAGAUUUAUCGGUAUCGGAUGGGGAUGCGUGACAUUAGAUAGUAGGCGGGGUAACGGCCCACCUAGUCUACGAUGUCUAGGGGUUCUGAGAGGAAGGUCCCCCACACUGGAACUGAGACACGGUCCAGACUCCUACGGGAGGCAGCAGUGAGGAAUAUUGGUCAAUGGUCGGAAGACUGAACCAGCCAAGUAGCGUGAAGGAUGAAGGUUCUAUGGAUUGUAAACUUCUUUUAUACGGGAAUAAAACCUCCCACGUGUGGGAGCUUGUAUGUACCGUAUGAAUAAGCAUCGGCUAACUCCGUG